GAAAUUUCAAAGAAAUAAUAAAAAAUCUUAAAGAAAUAUUCGAACAAUCACAAAUAUAUCUCAAAUACAUCUCAAUUCAAUCUUAAUUUAAUCCAAGUUAAAAUCCUAUUGGACUUCAUUCAAAUUUUAUGCCAAAACUAAUUAAAUCUUAAAUCUUAAACAAACCCUAAUAAAAUCCUAAAUCCUAAAUCAAAUCCUAACUAUAUCCUAACCAAAUCCUAAAUCAAAUCCUAAUCAAAUCCUAAAUCCUAAACCAAAUCCUAAAAAAAUCCUAAACCAAACCCCAACCAAACCCUAAA
rnacentral:lncRNA from 1 species